CCGCAGGCCUAAUAUUUGCAAGUCGAACCGGCUUAUGUUUUUCGGAAUAUGAGUUAGUGGCGCACGGGUGAGUAACACGUACAUAACCUACCUUCAAGAGGGGGAUAGCCUUGGGAAACUGAGAGUAAUACCCCAUAGUAUCAAGUUGCGGCAUCGUGAGUUGAUUAAAGCUGAGGUGCUUGAAGAUGGAUGUGCGUCUGAUUAGCUAGUUGGUGAGGUAACGGCUCACCAAGGCGACGAUCAGUAGGGGGCGUGAGAGCGUGGCCCCCCACACGGGUACUGAGACACGGACCCGACUCCUACGGGAGGCAGCAGUAAGGAAUAUUGGUCAAUGGAGGGAACUCUGAACCAGCCAUGCCGCGUGAAGGAUGACGGCCCUCUGGGCUGUAAACUUCUUUUGGAUGGGGCGAAAAAACGGGAUUUAUCCUGGACUGACGGUACCAUCAGAAUAAGCACCGGCUAACUCCGUGCCAGCAGCCGCGGUAAUACGGAGGGUGCAAGCGUUAUCCGGAAUCACUGGGUUAAAGGGUGCGUAGGCGGUUGUAUAAGUCAGGGGUGAAAGCACGCAGCUAACUGUGUAAUUGCCUUUGAUA
rnacentral:rRNA from 1 species